rnacentral:snoRNA from 2 species
CCCCUCUCAGUAUCGCACCUGGAGAGUUUCCAGUACUUUACCAGUCUUGGCUACGGGAGGGAGAGUCAAGAAGAGGAAUAGCCAUUCCAUUCCUAGCUUGGGCAGUGGCUGGCCAGUGGAAGACAAUCUGCUACAAGU